rnacentral:rRNA from 1 species
AAUCAGUUAUGGUUCCUUAGAUCGUUCAUACUACAUGGAUAACUGUGGUAAUUCUAGAGCUAAUACAUGCAAAAAGCUCCGACCGUAUGGGAAGAGCGCUUUUAUUAGACCAAAACCAAUGGGGUCGCAAGACUCCUUUGUAUGGUGACUCUGGAUAACUUUGUGCUGAUCGCAUGGCCUAGAGCCGGCGACGUAUCUUUCAAGUGUCUGCCCUAUCAACUUUCGAUGGUAAGCGAUUUGCCUACCAUGGUUGUAACGGGUAACGGGGAAUCAGGGUUCGAUUCCGGAGAGGGAGCAUGAGAAAUGGCUACCACAUCUACGGAAGGCAGCAGGCGCGCAAAUUACCCACUCCUAGAACGGGGAGGUAGUGACGAAAAAUAACAAUACCGGACUCAAUGAGGCUCGGUAAUUGAAAUGAGUACAGUUUAAAACCCUUAACGAGGAUCUAUUGGAGGGCAAGUCUGGUGCCAGCAGCCGCGGUAAUUCCAGCUCCAAUAGCGUAUAUUAAAGUUGUUGCAGUUAAAAAGCUCGUAGUUGGAUCUCGGGUACUAGCAUGUGGUACGCUUAAUUGCUGUUACUACAUGUCUGGUCCUAAUCAACCGGUUGGCCGUUGAUGUCCUUUAUUGGGUGUUUUCGGUAGCCGGUACGUUUACUUUGAGAAAAUUAGAGUGCUUAAAGCAGGCCUUACGCCUGAAUAAUGUUGCAUGGAAUAAUAGAAUAGGACCUCGGUUCUAUUUUGUUGGUUUUGUAGAGCAUUGAGGUAAUGAUUAAUAGGGACAGACGGGGGCAUUCGUAUUGCGGUGUUAGAG